rnacentral:sRNA from 1 species
UCAUCAAGCACUUUGAAUACAAAACAAACAAUCUAACAAUCCCCCUUUCGUUCACCACCAAACCAACCUCAACAUGUCUCCCUGCUCCUGCUCCACUUGCUCCUGCAGCAAUGACUGCAACGGCUGCUCCUGCACUGCCUGCGGUGUAAGUGUCC